CCCUCAGGAUAGGUGGCGCUCUAGCACGACCACCCACGCAGUUUUUAUCCAGUAAAGCGGAUGAUUAGAGGUCUUGGGGCCGAAACUUCU
rnacentral:miRNA from 1 species